UACGUAGGGGGCUAGCGUUGUCCGGAAUCAUUGGGCGUAAAGCGCGCGUAGGCGGCCCGGUAAGUCCGCUCUGAAAGUCCAGGGCUCAACCCUGGAAAGCGGGUGGAUACUGCCGGGCUAGAAUCCGGAAGAGGCGAGUGGAAUUCCUGGUGUAGCGGUGGAAUGCGUAGAGAUCCGGAAGAACACCGGUGGCGAAGGCGGCCUGCUGGGCAGUAGCUGACGGCUGAGGCGCGACAGCGUGGGGAGCAAACGGG
rnacentral:rRNA from 1 species